rfam:Geobacter uraniireducens Rf4, complete genome.
CAAACACAUCAUCUCCGAGCCUUUCAGCCUAAAAGGAUAAACCUCAUGGCGCCCGGCCAACGGGUUUCGCUGGAAACAGCGGAGCCUCCCUUUCGGAAAGGAGACCUAUCCGCUCAGCG